rnacentral:rRNA from 1 species
GAUCAUGGCUCAGGAUGAACGCUAGCUACAGGCUUAACACAUGCAAGUCGAGGGGCAGCAUGAACUUAGCUUGCUAAGUUUGAUGGCGACCGGCGCACGGGUGAGUAACACGUAUCCAACCUUCCGUUUACUCAGGGAUAGCCUUUCGAAAGAAAGAUUAAUACCUGAUAGUAUGGUGAGAUUGCAUGAUAACACCAUUAAAGAUUUAUUGGUAAACGAUGGGGAUGCGUUCCAUUAGGUAGUAGGCGGGGUAACGGCCCACCUAGCCGACGAUGGAUAGGGGGUUCUGAGAGGAAGGUCCCCCACAUUGGAACUGAGACACGGUCCAAACUCCUACGGGAGGCAGCAGUGAGGAAUAUUGGUCAAUGGGCGAGAGCCUGAACCAGCCAAGUAGCGUGAAGGAUGAAGGUCCUACGGAUUGUAAACUUCUUUUAUACGGGAAUAAAGUAUCCUACGUGUAGGAUUUUGUAUGUACCGUAUGAAUAAGCAUCGGCUAACUCCGUG